UACGAGGGGGGCGAGCGUUGUUCGGAAUUAUUGGGCGUAAAGGGUGCGUAGGCGGUUUGGUAAGUCUCUUAUGAAAUCUAUGGGCUCAACUCAUAGUCUGCAAGGGAAACUGCCGGGCUUGAGUGUGGGAGAGGUGAGUGGAAUUUCCGGUGUAGCGGUGAAAUGCGUAGAUAUCGGAAGGAACACCUGUGGCGAAAGCGGCUCACUGGACCACAACUGACGCUGAUGCACGAAAGCUAGGGGAGCAAACGGG
rnacentral:rRNA from 1 species